UCUGUUUCCUUCUCCCAACUAGUCUCUUCUACAGUCAAACCCCUCUAUUUGAUAAGGUACUCCUUGUAUGGCUGAUGCUUGGUGGUUUUGAUAGCUUGCUCUGUCAGGAACUCUUCUACUCUUUGGUUGACUAGUGGUGUGUGGAUGAAAGCUAAUCUGGUAGGUCUACUAUAGCUAGGAUCUACCUCAUCUGCAUGAUAUUGCUUUAAAUUGGCAACAAGGGAAGUUAGUUGAAUCUUCAUUCAUUUUCAUAACUCUACUCUGUAAGUUGGUUAAUCAACCCAAAUAACAAUUCACAUUGGCUCUUCCUCUUUGGGAAUUAGUCUCUUAUCCUGG
rnacentral:misc_RNA from 1 species